GUACUGUAUGACAGGCAAGAAGGUUAGCUCUUCCUUAACUAGGAUGGAAGAGAUCCUAUGACCUAUGCAACACACAUAUGGUUAAGAAACUGGCACCUACUUAAUGUAUCUAUGAUUUUUA